GGGGUUGUGGCUCAGUGGUAGAGUGCUCACCUAGCAUGUGCAAGGCCCUGGGUUUGAUCCUCAGCACCACA
rnacentral:tRNA from 1 species